rnacentral:misc_RNA from 1 species
GAAAUGCGAUACUUAAUGUGAAUUGCAGAAUUCAGUGAAUCAUCGAGUCUUUGAACGCACAUUGCGCCCCCUGGUAUUCCGGGGGGCAUGCCUGUCCGAGCGUCAUUGCUGCCCUCAAGCACGGCUUGUGUGUUGGGCUUCCGUCCCUGGCAACGGGGACGGGCCCAAAAGGCAGUGGCGGCCCCAUGUCUGGUCCUCGAGCGUAUGGGGCUUUGUCACCCGCUCCCGUAGGUCCAGCUGGCAGCUAGCCUCGCAACCAAUCUUUUUAACCAGGUUGACCUCGGAUCAGGUAGGGAUACCCGCUGAACUUAAGC